UCUCAGCGGGGGGUUAGUCUCGAAUUU
rnacentral:sRNA from 1 species